UACGUAGGUGGCUAGCGUUGUCCGGAUUUACUGGGCGUAAAGCGCGCGCAGGCGGUCGUCCAAGUCGAGUGUGAAAGCCCCCGGCUCAACUGGGGAGGGUCACGCGAUACUGUCGGGCUAGAGGUAGGUAGGGGAGAUCGGAAUUCCUGGUGUAGCGGUGAAAUGCGCAGAUAUCAGGAGGAACACCGGUGGCGAAGGCGGAUCUCUGGGCCUUACCUGACGCUCAGGCGCGAAAGCUAGGGGAGCGAACAGG
rnacentral:rRNA from 1 species